rnacentral:rRNA from 1 species
GGACUGCUGGUUUUAUACCAGCCGCAGCAAAUAGGCCCAAACAACUGUUUAUCAAAAACACAGGUUUCUGCAAAAUCGUAAGAUGAAGUAUAGGGGCUGACGCCUGCCCAGUGCUGGAAGGUUAAAAGGAGGACUUAGCUUCGGCGAAGGUCUUAAUUGAAGCCCCAGUGAACGGCGGCCGUAACUAUAACGGUCCUAAGGUAGCGAAAUUCCUUGUCGGGUAAGUUCCGACCCGCAUGAAAGGCGUAAUGAUUUGGGCGCUGUCUCAACAAUAGACUCGGUGAAAUUUAAAUUCCAGUGAAGAUGCUGGGUACCCGCGACAGGACGGAAAGACCCCGUGGAGCUUUACUGUAGCUUGAUAUUGAAUGUUUGUGCUGCAUGUGCAGGAUAGGUAGGAGACUUUGAAGUCGGAACGCUAGUUUCGAUUGAGUCACCCUUGAGAUACUACCUCUGUUGUAUGAACGUUCUAACUCUGAUCAGUUAUCCUGAUCGAAGACAGUGUCUGGCAGGCAGUUUGACUGGGGCGGUCGCCUCCUAAAAGAUAACGGAGGCGCUCAAAGGUUUGCUCAGAAUGGUUGGAAAUCAUUCGUAGCGUGUAAAGGCAUAAGCAAGCUUGACUGUGAGACUGACAAGUCGAGCAGGUACGAAAGUAGGACUUAGUGAUCCGGUGGUUCCGUAUGGAAGGGCCAUCGCUCAACGGACAAAAGCUACCCCGGGGAUAACAGGCUCAUCUCCCCCAAGAGUCCACAUCGACGGGGAGGUUUGGCACCUCGAUGUCGGCUCAUCGCAUCCUGGGGCUGUAGUCGGUCCCAAGGGUUGGGCUGUUCGCCCAUUAAAGCGGUACGCGAGCUGGGUUCAGAACGUCGUGAGACAGUUCGGUCCCUAUCCGUCGUGGGCGCAGGAAAUUUGAGAGGAUCUGUCCUUAGUACGAGAGGACCGGGAUGGACAUACCUCUGGUGUACCAGUUGUUCUGCCAAGAGCACCGCUGGGUAGCUACGUAUGGAUUAGAUAAUCGCUGAAAGCAUCUAAGUGAGAAACUAACCUCGAGAUGAGAUUUCCCAUUCGUCAGAAGUAAGACCCCUGAGAGACGAUCAGGUAGAUAGGCUAGAAGUGGAAGUGUAGUGAUGCAUGGAGCGGACUAGUACUAAUAGGUCGAGGACUUAACCAAG